GCUAAACGCGAAGAACCUUACCUGGUCUUGACAUCCACGGAACUUUCCAGAGAUGGAUUGGUGCCUUCGGGAACCGUGAGACAGGUGCUGCAUGGCUGUCGUCAGCUCGUGUCGUGAGAUGUUGGGUUAAGUCCCGCAACGAGCGCAACCCUUGUCCUUAGUUGCCAGCGAGUAAUGUCGGGAACUCAUGGGGAUACUGCCGGUGACAAAACCGGAGGAAAGGUGGGGACGACGUCAAGUCAUCAUGGCCCUUACGACCUGGGGCUACACACGUGACUACAAUGGAACGCACAGAGGGCAGCAAAAGGCGCGAGCGUGCGCAAAAUCUCAAAAAAGCCAUCCUCAGUUCGGAUUGGAGUCUGCAACCCGACUCCCAUGAAGUUGGAAUCGCUAGUAAUCGCGGAUCAGC
rnacentral:rRNA from 1 species